GGUGUCUGAGAAAUGAAAUAACCUCUAAAAGGAACUUUGCACUUUUUACUGCACUGCUGCAGAGAGAACAUUGAUUGAAAGGCACAGGCAGGUUCGGGAAGAAAUGCACUCGCUGGAGGCCGGGUCAGGUUUUAUCUUUCCAAACCCGGUGUGCAGGAGCCUUGGUGCGAGACAGACCUGCAUGUGAACAGAAUCCACCAUCCAGGAAUUCACCGAGAAUCAUCUCAUUAGAGCAAAAGAGGCUACCAUCUCCCAGGAAAUUCCAAAGGACCAGGAUUAGGAGCUCUGUCGAGACCAACUGACAGAGCUUGGAGAUGUCCCCAGCUCUAAGCCUCAAAGCGUUCACCUGUGAAAUGCGAACAGAGAGGCACACCCC
rnacentral:lncRNA from 1 species